rnacentral:rRNA from 1 species
UACGUAGGGUGCGAGCGUUGUCCGGAAUUAUUGGGCGUAAAGAGCUCGUAGGUGGCUUGUCACGUCGGGUGUGAAAGCUUGGGGCUUAACUCCAGGUCUGCAUUCGAUACGGGCUGGCUAGAGGUAGGUAGGGGAGAACGGAAUUCCUGGUGUAGCGGUGAAAUGCGCAGAUAUCAGGAGGAACACCGGUGGCGAAGGCGGUUCUCUGGGCCGUUACUGACGCUGAGGAGCGAAAGCGUGGGGAGCGAACAGG